rnacentral:rRNA from 1 species
GUGGGGAAUCUUGCGCAAUGGGCGAAAUCCUGACGCAGCCAUGCCGCGUGGAUGAUGAAGGUCUUAGGAUUGUAAAAUCCUUUCACCGGUGAAGAUAAUGACUGUAGCCGGAGAAGAAGCCCCGGCUAACUUCGUGCCAGCAGCCGCGGUAAUACGAAGGGGGCUAGCGUUGCUCGGAAUUACUGGGCGUAAAGGGCGCGUAGGCGGACAGUUUAGUCAGAGGUGAAAGCCCAGGGCUCAACCUUGGAAUUGCCUUUGAUACUGGCUGUCUUGAGUACGGGAGAGGUGAGUGGAACUCCGAGUGUAGAGGUGAAAUUCGUAGAUAUUCGGAAGAACACCAGUGGCGAAGGCGACUCACUGGCCCGUUACUGACGCUGAGGCGCGAAAGCGUGGGGAGCAAACAGGAUUAGAAACCCCAGUAGUCC